rnacentral:rRNA from 1 species
GACGGAAGGUGCAAGCGUUGCUCGGAAUCACUGGGCGUAAAGGGUGCGUAGGCGGCUGUGCAAGUCUGGCGUGAAAGCCCCGGGCUCAGCCCGGGAAGUGCGCUCGAAACUGCGCGGCUCGAGUGCCGGAGGGGAGAGUGGAAUUCCUGGUGUAGCGGUGAAAUGCGUAGAUAUCAGGAGGAACACCGGUGGCGAAGGCGGGUCUCUGGGCAGUAACUGACGCUGAGGAGCGAAAGCGUGGGGAGCGAACAGG